CCAUGUUUUAGUUAACAUUACCUAUUUCCAACUUUACCAUUUUAUAUAACUCUGAGGUCUUGAACUACCGAUGGGUUUCGGAUUAGCAUCUAAUAUGUCAAGGUCUCUCAAAUAAUUCGUUACAGACACGUAAUCAAAAAUGUUGGUAGAGCUCUAUACCAUUCAGCGUGCCGUGCCAGUUCUAACCCAGAGCUAGGAGGCCCAGAAAAUCACAAACCGAUGACCACAAUAUGUCUUCAUUGCUCGGGAACUGGCAUUAACAUGCAGGGGUACACAGUAAUCAUCGCGCCCCAGGCCAUGGAAAUCAUUGACUUUUAGAUGCAAAUCGACGGUCCGGUAACCGCAGUUGUAAGAGUGAAAGGCCGGCGAAGAACUUGCAGCUGGUUCUGCUCUGCUCUGGACAUUGAAUUGCUAACCUGAUUCAAUGAGCCUCCUUGGCCAUCCUACUCUUUUUUGUAGCUACAUGUAAGCCUUUCUUUUUGCCACAUUUGGCCAACCAAAAGGCAUAAACUUGAUUGACUAGCAGCCAACCAUUUUCUUGCAUGGAAAUACUUUCUUAGAUCUCAGUCUUUGCCCGAAAUUGUUUUAUUACAAAUUGGAAAUUUGUAUCAAAAUCUCACAAGGAGCGCUUGUUAGCAUAGGCCAUAUCUCGACAGAUUUUCCAACGCAUUUAUAGCAUCACCUUAAUCUUUAGAAGGAUGAUAAAUAUUGAAAAUUUAAUCACUUUCCCCAGUAUAGUGUGCUGCAAAACACACCUACUUAAAUCGUUAUCAUUUCAAAAGCCAAUUAAUCCAAAAUAAAUUUGCCAUUAACAUGUAUGUUUUUUUCCGAAAAUAAAGUAUAAUUACCCACAACCAAGUGUUGUUCUGCACUUAUUGGUUGCUUAAGAUGUUUAUUUAAUUUUAAUGUUUUAUAUUUAGUUUAUUUAUUUUUAAAAGGUUGGAUCGCGUUUGAAAACAUAUUAUAUUCAAUUAUGUCUAUUGUCUGUUUACAAACUGAUUGCAAAAGGUUUGAAAGUAAUACAGCGCCAGACAGUUUAUAGUGUUUUAGUUUUAAAAUGUUUGUUGUUCCUUUUAAACAUCUUUGCUGGCAUUUGAAUAAUAAUAUUGUUACAAACUGUAUCAUAA